CGGGAAGGGCCAAACCGGGAAUCACCGACUGUCCCCGCGGGUGACAAACCGGGAGUCACCGACUGUCCCCGCGGGUGACAAACCGGGAGUCACCGACUGUCCCCGCGGGUGACAAUGGGGACUUGGAGAGGAACCAAGUUCCGGUAAAGCAGAACGUUAGCGCCGCGGCCGCGUUUCCAGCCGGGGUUGUUUUCUCUGCGCGUGUUCCGGGGGCGCAGCGGAAGCGGAAGUGGCGGCGGGAGGGAUGGAGGAACCGGAGAUGCAGCUGAAGGUGAAGAAAGUGACAGACAAGUUCACGGAGAGCCUGUACGUGCUGGCCAACGAGCCCUCGGUGGCUCUGUUCCGCCUGCAGGAGCACGUCCGCAGGUCCCUGCCCGAGCUGGCCCAGCACAAGGUCGGUCCCGCUCCCCCAGCCUCGGAAUUCCGGGAUCCAACAGCCCCGACCCUGCUUUCCCACCUCCUCCCUCCAUCCCAGUCGGACAUGCAGAGCUGGGAGGAGCAGAGCCAGGGAGCCAUUUACACCGUGGAGUAUGCCUGCAGCGCCAUCAAGAACAUGACUGACAGCAGUGUUUACUUCAAGAGCAUCGACAGCCUCCUCAAAAAUUCCAUAACCAUGAAGGAACAGCUCAAUUCCAGCCAGGGCCGCAGCACCAUCACUCCCCAACCCAAGAAUCAUCCAGGCACUUCCUGAUUUUCCAUCCUGAAUUUCCCAACCUCGGGAAGAAGUGGAAAAAAAAAAAAAAACCACAAAAAACUCUGGGGCUGCACAGAGCCGCCAAAUCCCGAUUCCCGCUCACACCAGCGUGGAGUCCGUGGCUUUUCGGGCCGUCCCGUUCCUCGUCUCUCCCGCCGGGACAUUCCAAGGUUUUCCCUGCUCCCGGAGCGACCCCAAAUCC